AAAUUGAAGAGUUUGAUCAUGGCUCAGAUUGAACGCUGGCGGCAGGCCUAACACAUGCAAGUCGAACGGUAACAGGAAGCAGCUUGCUGCUUUGCUGACGAGUGGCGGACGGGUGAGUAAUGUCUGGGAAACUGCCUGAUGGAGGGGGGUAACUACUGGAAACGGUAGCUAAUACCGCAUAACGUCGCAAGACCAAAGAGGGGGACCUUCGGGCCUCUUGCCAUCGGAUGUGCCCAGAUGGGAUUAGCUUGUUGGUGGGGUAACGGCUCACCAAGGCGACGAUCCCUAGCUGGUCUGAGAGGAUGACCAGCCACACUGGAACUGAGACACGGUCCAGACUCCUACGGGAGGCAGCAGUGGGGAAUAUUGCACAAUGGGCGCAAGCCUGAUGCAGCCAUGCCGCGUGUAUGAAGAAGGCCUUCGGGUUGUAAAGUACUUUCAGCGGGGAGGAAGGGAGUAAAGUUAAUACCUUU
rnacentral:rRNA from 1 species